CUCUUUUUAAAAGUACUCAUUGGACCUUUAACUAGUGACCUACUGACCCAACAAGAAAGGGCAGAAUAAAGACAUCAUUUUUGGGGUGAAGCAGCAACAUGUUAUGUUGUUCAGCAUCAAUUGUCAGUGUAACAAGG